GAAACUCUUCCUGACUUUCGGUCAACUUCUGCAGUGUAUCGUCUAGCGGCAAGCAUAUUGGCUGAAUAUUAUCUAUUUUAAUUUCCCAUUCUCGUCCCUGACCACUUCCUUUGAUAGUUUGAUCAAUUCUAUAUCAUUAUGACCAGUAAAUUGCGAGAAAUCCUUGUGCACAAUAACCUUAUCAAUUUGUAUGUCCUCAACUGGAGGCGCGCAAAUAUACAUAUAUUCCAUUUCCCUUGCCGGAGUCUGUUGCAUUCGAUUCGACAGCGAUAAACUUAUUGCGGUGGACGUAGUGCAAUUCUCGGAACUCAGUAAAAGAUUUCGGCAGUCAUCGGAAUAUUUUAAGAAAAAAAAAAAAAGUAAAGAAUAUAAGCAUAAUAUGAAAAUAAAUAUAUUAUGAGUAUGAUUCAACUACAACUAAUGAUAAAUGGAGCCUAAUUUUCUCAAUCCAUUUCAUAAUGUGAAUAAAAAAUUAAAAAAUUAUGGACAUCUUAAACUUGA